GGACGAACGCUGGCGGCGUGCCUAAUACAUGCAAGUCGAGCGAAUCGAUGGGAGCUUGCUCCCUGAGAUUAGCGGCGGACGGGUGAGUAACACUUGGGCAACCUGCCUAUAAGACUGGGAUAACUUCGGGAAACCGGAGCUAAUACCGGAUACGUUCUUUUCUCGCAUGAGAGAAGAUGGAAAGACGGUUUACGCUGUCACUUAUAGAUGGGCCCGCGGCGCAUUAGCUAGUUGGUGAGGUAAUGGCUCACCAAGGCGACGAUGCGUAGCCGACCUGAGAGGGUGAUCGGCCACACUGGGACUGAGACACGGCCCAGACUCCUACGGGAGGCAGCAGUAGGGAAUCUUCCGCAAUGGACGAAAGUCUGACGGAGCAACGCCGCGUGAACGAAGAAGGCCUUCGGGUCGUAAAGUUCUGUUGUUAGGGAAGAACAAGUACCAGAGUAACUGCUGGUACCUUGACGGUACCUAACCAGAAAGCCACGGCUAACUACGUGCCAGCAGCCGCGGUAAUACGUAGGUGGCAAGCGUUGUCCGGAAUUAUUGGGCGUAAAGCGCGCGCAGGUGGUUCCUUAAGUCUGAUGUGAAAGCCCCACGGCUCCAACCGUGGAGGGGUCAUUUGG
rnacentral:rRNA from 1 species